GACGAACGCUGGCGGCGUGCCUAAUACAUGCAAGUAGAACGCUGAAGCGAGGAGCUUGCUCUUCUUGGAUGAGUUGCGAACGGGUGAGUAACGCGUAGGUAACCUGCCUUGUAGCGGGGGAUAACUAUUGGAAACGAUAGCUAAUACCGCAUAACAAUAGGUGACACAUGUCAUUUAUUUGAAAGGGGCAAUUGCUCCACUACAAGAUGGACCUGCGUUGUAUUAGCUAGUAGGUGAGGUAACGGCUCACCUAGGCGACGAUACAUAGCCGACCUGAGAGGGUGAGCGGCCACACUGGGACUGAGACACGGCCCAGACUCCUACGGGAGGCAGCAGUAGGGAAUCUUCGGCAAUGGGGGCAACCCUGACCGAGCAACGCCGCGUGAGUGAAGAAGGUUUUCGGAUCGUAAAGCUCUGUUGUAAGUCAAGAACGAGUGUGAGAGUGGAAAGUUCACACUGUGACGGUAGCUUACCAGAAAGGGACGGCUAACUACGUG
rnacentral:rRNA from 1 species